GCUCGCUCCCAGCGCCGGGCCUCGGGCCCUCGCUCUGGGGUGGGGCUCUAGGUGUCCCCGAAAACAGGACCUUUGACGACCUUACGGUCUUCCGCCGUGACCAGAGAGUUUCCCUGUCUCCCGCCGGCCCCUACGACUGUCACAAGGGCACUUAAUAGGAAUAUUACUCCCGUUUGCUCCGCGCCAGUUACUGUGCACCCUGCAGAGCGCCCCGCACCUUCACCUCGUGUAACCUCCCGUAACCAGCCAACCGGAUAUUACUGUCCCCGCUUUACAGACAGGAGGGGCUCCCAGGUGCUUAAUUGCCCGAGGAGCAGAGACUAGGCGGUGGCCGAGCUGUAGAGGGCACCAGCCUUUUCGCGCACAGUCGUGCUGGUCCCCGAAGCACUAGGAGACAAUGGGAUCUAAUGAUGCCUGUCUUGCAGCUGGGAGGAGCCGGGGCCUAGGUUGUUCAGCGUCUUGUCCAGCCGGGCUGCAGGAUUGAGGCAGGCAUUAUUGCUACAGUUUUACAAAGCGAAGAAGCCCAGUCUGGAGGGGGGUUGGUGUCUCUUCUUUUAGCUCACCGAAAAAGCAAGGGGGUUCCCGAGCAGGAAAGGAACUUGUCUCAGCUCGGGUCUUCAGAGACAACGCAGUUAGAAAAAAUCAGCUCUGAUCACUCGCUCAUGCCCUCUCAGAGGCCAAAUAAAGCAAAGUGAAGUUCAAGAUCAA